rnacentral:tRNA from 1 species
GGCGAGGUGGCCGAGUGGUUAUGGCGCUAGUUUCAGGUAUCCCUCCCUCAAAGAGGAUACCAGAAAAGGAUAUACUAGUGGAGCAAUCCUCGUGGGUUCGAGUCCCACCCUCGUCA